rnacentral:rRNA from 1 species
GACGAACGCUGGCGGCGUGCUUAACACAUGCAAGUCGAACGGAAAGGCCCUGCUUGCCGGGUACUCGAGUGGCGAACGGGUGAGUAACACGUGGGUGAUCUGCCCCGCACUUCGGGAUAAGCAUGGGAAACUGGGUCUAAUACCGGAUAGGAGCCAUCUUUAGCGUGGUGGUUGGAAAGUUUUUUCGGUUUAGGAUGUGCUCGCGGCCUAUCAGCUUGUUGGUGGGGUAAUGGCCUACCAAGGCGGCGACGGGUAGCCGGCCUACGAGGAUGUACGGCCACUCUAGACCUCGGAGGCAGCCCGGAGUCCUGCGGGGGGCAGCAGUGGGGAAUAUUGCACGAUGGGCGGAAGCCUGAGGCAGCGACGCCGCGUGGGGGUUGAAGGCCUUCGGGUUGUAAACUCCUUUCGCUAGGGACGAAGCUUUGUUGUGACGGUACCUAGAUAGGAAGCACCGGCUAACUACGUG